GACGAACGCUGGCGGCGUGCUUAACACAUGCAAGUCGAGCGGUAAGGCCCUUUCGGGGGUACACGAGCGGCGAACGGGUGAGUAACACGUGGGUGACCUGCCCUUAGCUCUGGGAUAAGCCUGGGAAACUGGGUCUAAUACCGGAUAUGACUCCAUGACGCAUGUUGUGGGGUGGAAAGCCUUGUGCGGCUAGGGAUGGGCCCGCGGCCUAUCAGCUUGUUGGUGGGGUGAUGGCCUACCAAGGCGACGACGGGUAGCCGGCCUGAGAGGGCGACCGGCCACACUGGGACUGAGACACGGCCCAGACUCCUACGGGAGGCAGCAGUGGGGAAUCUCGCGCAAUGGGCGAAAGCCUGACGCAGCGACGCCGCGUGA
rnacentral:rRNA from 1 species